GCCACCCAGGGGCCCCAACGAUCUGGGUUUCUGACAUGUUGCAAGAGAAACACAAGUAAAGAUGCAACUUUACUGGUAAAGGAAAACGAGAUGCUCCUGGAUGUUCUUUGUUAUGUAUUUCAAGUUCGAACAAAUUAAAGAAAGAGGGCCACGCAAGGGUAGGUGACUGUGGAUUUGCAUAAAGAAUCACCGAUCCGUAUGUGUACCAGUCGUUCUGCUGUAGAAAGAGUUCUGGGAGGUUAGUUUUGGGGGAAAUUAGACAAAAGACAGACAUUAGAAAUAGUCUUAUCUUAUUCUUGCUUUGCUGGGAUUCAUGAAUAUGAACAAGUGAUUUUUAGUCAACUCAUGAAUGAAUGGAUGAAUGAAUAAACAAAUGUAUAAAUGAGCAAAUGAAAAAGUCCCAAGCCUAGACCAAUGAUGAGUACCCUGGGGUGUCUGAACCAAGGAGUUUGAUUAAACCCUGUAACUCUGAGGUCCAUCCUAAAAACAAACCUAAUUUCUUUCCUUGGCAGGACAGAACUGUGGCAGAAAUGAAGUAUAGAGUUGUCUAGCUUGUGGCUUUGGUACCCCUUGGCUAAGGGUUGUUUUAUUAGUAACUCAGGGUAUGAGGACGUUAAAGAAACGUAUCUAUGAAUAAGGACAAUGAGUCUUUACCAUUUAUGAGAGUAUCCAGUGAGAAAUAAUUUCUUGUUUAAACAUUUCUGAGGAGCUGAGUUCCAGUAGUGAAGAGUCCAAGACUUUUUUUUUUAACCACAUUUCAUCAGGAACAUGUAGGCAGAUGUUCAGGAUACCCGACGAAGAUCUUGGCUGCCACUUUUGUGGAUGAGAAGCAAAGUGACUCAUUCUACAUUUUCACUAAGUGAACACACACCACAGAUGAUCGAAUCAUUCUCUAAUGCCAAAGACCUUGGCUUUUCCAAACUGUGUGGGUAAGGACAGAAGAAAGUGAUUAAACGUCUGCCUGCAGCUCAAUUAAAUCAAAGAAAGCCCCAGAAGGACCAAUGGUGAACGUGGAGUCGGUGUGAAGCAUGGAUGUAACUGAUGACGCAUGUUCUCUGAGGUCCACUGUAAAAGGAGAUCUGUUUCCUUAUCAGGAAAGAGCCAUUAAUGGGGAGAUCUUAUCCUGGAGUCUUAUGAUAGUGUUGUAUUCAUGGAUCAGUGAAUCCGUCAAUAAAUGAAGAUACAAAGGAGGAAAAACGUGCCUGGGCCAAUGAUGAGUACCAUGGGGUAUCUGAAACAGGAGUUUUGAUUAAACCCAUAUGCAACUCUGAGGUCCAUUGCAAAGAGACACACAGCUAUUUCUCUCUGUGAAAAAAGGAGCACGUGAAUGAACACAUAGCUGAUUUAAUCAAUCUAUGAUCGUGAAGACGGGCUGUUACUUCUGGGACUCAGAAGCGUAAAGACCGAUAUAUCUAUGAAUGAGUGAAUCCGCUCAGGAAGGCAUGAAGGAAGGAAGGACGAGAGAGCUGUGUCUGGAUCAAUGAUGAGUAUCGGUGGAGGUAUCUGAAUCCCCACCCUGGAUGCAGCCCGCUGUGUGGCUCUGAGGUCCAUUACAGAAAAAUAACCCAUCAAUAUUCUCCGUAGAAAUUAGCUAAUAGUAGAAGUUAGCAAAAGUCAAUAAACUUGCCCCAGGCUUUUGUGGUUCAUGGAUACGGAUUAUAUUAUUUCAAGUGAAUCAAUGCAUGAGUAAAUAAAGAAAUGAAUACAAAAGCCUCCUCAUGGAACAAUUAGCAGCAUGCAGUAAACACUAUUAAUAUCAAUACAGUUCUGAAGGAAAAUGGGAAGGCUCACUGUGUAAUCCUCCCUUAUAUGGAACAUAUUAAUAUCUGCACUUAAGACCCAGUGUUUUGAAUUUCUGGAGUUUGCUGGGGGUUUUUAAGCUAAGAGAAAGGACAGUGUUUGCAUCAGUCAAUAAUCUAUUAGAUAACCAUCUCUGUAAUAGGCGUUGAUACAUGUGGGACUUGGUAAUCAUUAUAGAUCUUAAUCUUGGGCUACGUGGUGGACUUAACAGUGUUUAUUAUAUUAUAUAUAACUAAGAAUUCCAUCCUAGUUUAAUAAAGAAUGGAUGCUUGAGCCCAUGUUUAUUGGUAUCUAGCUCUGCGUGAUCGACAGCCGUUUAAAAACUCUGCAUGUAGUCUAACUCUGCUAUUUCUUACCCAGAGUGAACAAUAGCAUAGCUGACUCAGUCAUUUAGUACAGAAUUAUCGUAGCGAAGCAGGAGCAUGAAGAUGAAUGUAAUCCGCCAACAAUGCAUCCAAGGAACGUAUACAAUUGCAUCUAAAAAUCAUGAUGUGCCAUAUUUUAUACAACUCAUCUCCAUAGGAAGGAAAAGAGUUCUAGGCGUUUCUACUGGUGCGUGUAGACGUUUAUAAAUAAAUGAGCACAUGCCACCAGUUUUGAUUAUUAUCAUGGCGAAGAUCUUGCCUUUUACCUCUUUGGGAAAAUCAAUACUGAGUUCAUGGCUGAUUUAUAACCAGUCUGCUGAUGAAGAUCCCGGCUGUUACCUUUCUGGAAUGGACGCACGAUGAAUCAAUUACAGAGUAUAGAAACUUAUAAUGGAUACUCCGGUCCAGGUGAAGCAUCUCCAUGGUCGUGAGCCGUCUGUUGCCUGGGAGCAGAGAGACCAAUAACGGAUACAGUUGGGCUGGGUCUCCGUGGUGGCCUCCGUUGUUAAGGACACAGACACUAACCGUGGGCACUCCAAGGUGAUGAAAACAUCUGCCAUGGAUACGGACUCUAUAUGUAGGGGACGGAGAUGAGUAAUGGAUGGAGCUGGAGCUAAUCUAUGGAUUCUUCCAUGGUCACAAGGUGUCUGCUUGUCUCUGUGUCUGGUGUAUAGAAAGAAAUAAUGGAUCACCCAAGCUGGUUUCAACUGCAUGCCCAUAGGAACAUGGAAACGAACGACGUGACCGCAGUUGGGCUGACGUACCUUUUAUGGACACGAGCUCUGUGUUUGCUUCCUUGUCUAGUGCCCAUAGAGGCCAACCAUGGAUACACUUGAACUUACUUAGUGUUUGGCCGUGAUUGGUGCUUCACGGAUGCCCUGUGUGUCAGAGAAUGAAGACCAACAAAUAAGUGAAGAAAAAGGGACCCAUCCAGAGCCACUGAUAAUCACUGGUGGCACAUGCCUCUCGAUGGACGGUCAGGCUCGGGCUGGUUGAAGAACUCUUUCAUGGUCACAAGGCCUAUGAUCGCACCUGUGUUCCGGUGUGCAGAGACCAACAAAGAAAACACCUGAGCCGAUUUAAGCAUCUGCCAUGUUUAGGCGCUCCAACGUAGCCUCUCUGUGUCCUGAAGUCCAACGUAUAUAUGUUGUGAAAAAAUAAUAUCCAGAUAGCUGGAGAAAUGAAAUGAGGAAAAUAAGACUAAUAGAGAAGUUUCCAUUUUUAAUUAUCUGCUCUGGGUUACACUCCUCAGAAUCAACACACCCCAGCUGACUUAGCAUUUUCCAUGGUCAAAUGCGUCUUCCUGUGUGUUCGGGGCAUGGAGAUGAAUGUGGACACGUGUGAGUUGAUUAAGCACUUGGCCCUGAACAGGACGUAGACCAAUAACAGAUGCCCCAAGGAGAUUUCAACCUCUGUCAUGGUCAAGAUUGUCAACAGACCAAGCAUGGAUGCACUCAAGCUGAUACAAGUGUUUCCAUGGUUACGCGCUCCCUGAUUGCAUUCGUGAGUUAGGAGCACAGAGACCAAUGAACGGAAGUCCAUUAAAAAUUUAUGUAGGCGUUUGCAUCUCAUCAGGAGGGACAUGGGGACAGAGCAUCUCCCUAAACACUCCUUAACUGAUAAAGGUAUAAACUACUUUUGUUAUGAAGACAAAGCACUUAGGAGAUAAUGGAAGCCCCUGGGGUGAUGUAAGCAUCUUCCAUCGCCACGAGCUCUGGUUGCAUUUAUGCAUUAGGAGCGUGGAGACCAAUAAUGGACACACUUAGGCUCAUUCAGGUGUCUUCAGGCGUAGGAGCUGUGCGCUGGCCACUGUGUCUUAGGAGCAUGGACGACAAUAGUGGUGUGGUCCAGCUGAUGGAAGGUCGUUCACGCUCAGGUGCGCUACGUUUUGGGGAGCAUGGAGACCAGUCAUGGAGCCAUCAAGCAGAUUUAAGGAUUCUUCCUUGGUCACGUGAUCUCGGGUUGCAUUCAUGUGUUAGGAACAUGGAGACCAUAAUGGUCCCACUUGGCUGAUUUCGACAUUCCACCACAGUCAUGAGCCCUAUGUUUGCCUCUGUGUGUUCAGAGCAUUGAACACAAUAACGAUGCUUGAGCUGAUUGCAGCUUCUGCUGUGACCAGGGUUGUCAUGUCCCUUUUCAGUCUGGAAAGAGAUGAAGACCCACAGUGGUUAAAGUGGCUGUGCUGGAGUGGGACAUUUAUGUAAGGAUAAUCGUGGUAUCAUUGAAAGAAUGAACUCCCUGGAGAUGAUGUGUCGUGGGCAUUUGUUCACCUCCCUGUAAUAGGAGGAUGGAGAUUAAUAAGAGACACACUGAAGUUGAUUUAAAGCUUCUUCCUCCAUCCGGAAUGCAGGGUUGCAUCACCUGUUGCCGAAGACUGGAGGCCAGUAGAAGCUCCAGCUGUGAACAAGGUCAUCAAGUCUCCUCUUCUGUAGGAAAGAGACCAAGCUGUAGUUUGUACUUCUCAGAAUGAACACAUUUGAGCUCACCAUGCAUUCUUCUCUGGUGGUGACCUGUUCGGCAGCACCCGUGUGACAGAGGCACUGAAAUGCACAACAGGCACGCGGUACCUGAUGUAAGGAUCCUUCCCUGAUCAGGGGCUCUAGGGCUGCGUUUCUGGAAGGAGUUGGAAGACCAGUUUCUCUUCAGGACAGAUGGUCUCGCUGAUUUCCGCUCCUGCCCUGAUAAAGAAAGAUUGUGAUGGGGCCUGUGUCCUAGGAGAAUAAGCCAAGAGAACAACAAUGGACACACAUGUGCUGAUUGAACGUCAUCUAUGGUCUCGGAGCUCUGUGGUUCCCUCUAUGAAGGAGGAGGAUGGGGAUUCAUACAUAUUCAUCCUGCUUUACGGAUACUCCGUGAUCAAGAGCCCUCAGGUUGUAUUUCUGUACAAGGAAGACGUGAGAGCAAUAUGCUCAAGACGAUCCGUCUUUCACUGCUAUCAAGAUUAUCACGUGACGUUGCUUUUGCGUUAGGAAACGGAAUAAG